rnacentral:rRNA from 1 species
CUGAUGGGCAACGAAGGCCCUCGUCUAUGAAUAUUUUUACAAACGCUCAAAGUAUGACAGAAUGUAUAUCAUAUUGCGUCUGAUAAACGUGACAAAUACAACUUUCAACAACGGAUCUCUUGGCUCUCGCAUCGAUGAAGAACGCAGCGAAAUGCGAUAAGUAAUGUGAAUUGCAGAAUUCAGUGAAUCAUCGAAUCUUUGAACGCACCUUGCGCUCCUUGGUAUUCCGAGGAGCAUGCCUGUUUGAGUGUCAUGAAAUCCUCAACUGCCCCAGGCUUUGUGGCCUGCGGGUGAAGUUGGACUUGGAGGUAUGCUGGCGCAUGAAUGGGCUUUUGUGCCCCGUCUCGCUUGUUGGCUCCUCUUGAAUGCAUGAGCUUUCCAAUCCUUGGCAAAGUAUCGUCGAUGUGAUAAUUGUCUACGUCGCCUGAGAAAGCCGAAAAGGGGAAAUCUUUGAUCACGCUGGGGUGACCUGCGUCUGACAAAUUCGACCUCAAAUCAGGUAGGACUACCCGCUGAACUUAAGCAUAUCAAUAAGCGGAGGAAAAGAAACUAACAAGGAUUCCCCUAGUAACUGCGAGUGAAGCGGGAAAAGCUCAAAUUUAAAAUCUGGCGGCCUCCGGUCGU